CAUUUUAUGAUGAACACAUGCGUGUCAACUGAUCCUAGAGUUUUAUCUUGUAACUGUCUCCUUGCUGACGUUUUGUCACCAGGUGAUGUUGGUUACUAGAGGAUUCUAGGAACAUGAUCAUGCCUUGAAUUCUGAAAAUG